CAGCCAGGGAUACAUAGAAAAUCCCUGCCUAAAAAAGGGAAAGAGAGAGAGGGAGGAGAGAGGAGAGAGAGGAGGAAGGAGAGAGAGGAGGCAGAGGAGUGAGAGAGAGAGCAGAGAGGGGAGAGAGAGAGGAGAGAGAGGGGUAGAAAGGGGAAAGAGAGAAGAGAGAGGAGUGAGAGAGAAGAGAGAGGGGACAAGAGAAGGGAGAGAGAGGAAAGAGAGGGAGGAGAGAGAGAGAGUAGCCCAAGCCUUUAAUCCCAGGCCUCAGGAGAGCAAGUUCAAGGCCAAACCCUG
rnacentral:lncRNA from 1 species